AAUGAACGUUGGCAGCGUGGAUUAGGCAUGCAAGUCGAGCGACAAGGUCCUGGGACUGGAGGAGCGGCAACGGGGUAGUAAUACAUCGGAACGUACCCUCACGUCUGGGAUAGCCACGGGAAACUGUGGGUAAUACUGGAUAAUCUCACUACUUGUGAAGAGUGGUGAGCAAAGGUCCGCCGCGUGAGGAGCGGCCGAUGCGAUACUAGAUAGUUGGUGGGGUAAUGGCCUACCAAGUCUAAGAUGUCUAGGGGGUGUGAGAGCAUGGCCCCCACCACUGGGACUGAGACACUGCCCAGACACCUUACGGGNGGCUGCAGUCGAGAAUCUUUGGCAAUGGGCGCAA
rnacentral:rRNA from 1 species